rnacentral:tRNA from 2 species
GGGUCGCUAGCUCAGUUGGUAGAGCAACGGACUUUUAAUCCGCAGGUCCAGGGUUCGAGCCCCUGGCGACCCACAA